UACGUAGGGGGCAAGCGUUGUCCGGAUUUAUUGGGCGUAAAGAGCGUGUAGGCGGCCUGACAGGUCAGCUGUGAAAACUCGAGGCUCAACCUCGAGACGUCGGUUGAAACCAUCUGGCUAGAGUCCGGAAGAGGAGAGUGGAAUUCCCGGUGUAGCGGUGAAAUGCGCAGAUAUCGGGAAGAACACCCGUGGCGAAGGCGGCUCACUGGCUCGAUACUGACGCUGAGGUGCGAAAGCGUGGGGAGCAAACAGG
rnacentral:rRNA from 1 species